CAUCUGCCCCCAACGCCUGCAAAGCAUGCGCAAUUUUUCUGCCUGUAUCCCCCAAACCGAUGAUUCCCAUUUUGACUCCUGUCAUUUCCUUUGCAUAAGAUUCAAAAAUGUGUUUACCGUAUCCAUGAAAGAGACCGAUGAUUUCAUAUAGUACAAAUUCCACAACACCAUUGUCACCAUAUUCCCUCACGCCUGUUACAGUAAUCCCCAGCUCCUUUGCCGCCUGCAUAUCCACAUUGGCACUUUCCGGAGAAUAAAGACUACAGCAUAGUCCAAUAUAGUGCAGCUUCGGGCAAUUUUCCAAAACCUCUCUGCUAAUGCUGCUGGUGUAGCUCAUCAAAAUCCCAUCUGCAUCCUGAAUACGCUUCAGAAUCUCUGUAUCAUCCUUUGGUACGGUAUCAUAGGCAGUAAUCUGUUUUGCCGUUUUUUUAAGCGUCUCCAUCAUUUCAGAUGAAACAUUGGAGGGCUCCAUAAUCACGAGAUGUUCAAAAGUAAACAACUGCCUCCCCCCUUUUUACUGCAAUGUGUCGCGAAGAACCUUACCUAGACUUGACAUCCCUGGCAAAGCUAUAGAAAUAUAGUGGAGGUUACCCAGGUGACAGGUGGUGCAUGGUUGUCGUCAGCUCGUGUCGUGAGAUGUUCGGUUAAGUCCGCUAACGAGCGCAACCCUUAUCCUUAGUUGCUAACAUUUAGUUGAGAACCCUAAGGAGACUGCCGGUGACAAACCGGAGGAAGGUGGGGAUGACGUCAAAUCAUCAUGCCCCUUACGUCUAGGGCUACAGGCGUGCUAUAAUGGCCGAUACAAUAAGAAGCAAUACUGUGAAGUGGAGCAAAUCUGUAAAGUCGGUCUCAGUUCGGAUUGAAGUCUGCAACUCGACUUCAUGAAGCUAGAAUCGCUAGUAAUCCCAAAUCAGAAUGUUGGGGUGAAUACGUUCCCGGGUGUUGUACACACCGCCCGUCAUGCCAUGAAAGUUUGUAAUACCCGAAUGUGGUAGCCUAACCUUUUAGGAGGGGGCCAUUUAAGGUAGGACAAGUGAUUGGGGUAAAGUCGUAACAAGGUAUCCCUACGAGAACGUGGGGAUG
rnacentral:rRNA from 1 species